rnacentral:rRNA from 1 species
AAGUCGUAACAAGGUUUCCGUAGGUGAACCUGCGGAAGGAUCAUUAAUGAAAUGAAUGUCGAGAAGGGUUGUAGCUGGCCUUUUGGGGCAUGUGCACACCUUGAUCGCACAUCCACCUCUCACACCUGUGCACUAUGUGUAGCUUGGGAUGAUUACAGUGUUGGAAACGAUGUUGAAAGCCCUAGCUAUGAAUUUUUAUACACCCACAUACAAAGUUAUAGAAUGGAUAAUGUUAUAGCGUGUAAUAGCGCGAAUAUAUACAACUUUCAGCAACGGAUCUCUUGGCUCUCGCAUCGAUGAAGAACGCAGCGAAAUGCGAUAAGUAAUGUGAAUUGCAGAAUUCAGUGAAUCAUCGAAUCUUUGAACGCACCUUGCACCCUUUGGUAUUCCGAAGGGUACGCCCGUUUGAGUGUCAUUGUAAUCUCACCACCAUUGACUUUGGUCUUUUGGUAUGUGGACUUGGAUGUUGCCGUCGAUGUCUACGGCUCGUCUGAAAUGCUUCAGUGUACCCCGCUUUGCGGCGUAUUCGGUGUGAUACAUCUUCACCGGAGUUGAUCCUUUUGGGGGUCGCGUCUGUAAUGUGUGGCUCUAUGCUUCCAACCGUCUCUCGAGACAAUCUCUGACAAUUUGACCUCAAAUCGGGUGGGACUACCCGCUGAACUUAA